GUGACAAGAGUCAACAGGAACGAGACUGGGUUCUAAAUGAAUUCAAACAUGGAAAAGCUCCUAUUCUGAUUGCUACCGAUGUGGCCUCCAGAGGGCUAGCCCGUACCUUCUUGGGAAUACAAUUGUCUAACUUUUUAUUUUUGGUCUGGCUGUUGUGGUGUGCAAAACUCCGUACAUUGCUAUUUUGCCACACUGCAACACCUUACAGAUGUGGAAGAUGUGAAAUUUGUCAUCAAUUAUGACUACCCUAACUCCUCAGAGGAUUAUAUUCAUCGAAUUGGAAGAACUGCUCGCAGUACCAAAACAGGCACAGCAUACACUUUCUUUACUCCCAAUAACAUAAAGCAAGUGAGCGACCUCAUCUCUGUGCUUCGGGAAGCCAAUCAAGCAAUUAAUCCCAAGUUGCUUCAGUUGGUCGAAGACAGA
rnacentral:lncRNA from 1 species